AUGAACGCUGGCGGCGUGCUUCACCCCUGCCAGUCGAACGGAAAGGCUCCUGCUUGCCGGGGUACUCGAGUGGCGAACGGGUGAGUAACACGUGGGUGAUCUGCCCUGCACUUCGGGAUAAGCCUGGGAAACUGGGUCUAAUACCGGAUAGGACGAUGGUUUGGAUGCCAUUGUGGAAAGUUUUUCGGUGUGGGAUGAGCUCGCGGCCUAUCAGCUUGUUGGUGGGGUAAUGGCCUACCAAGGCGUCGACGGGUAGCCGGCCUGAGAGGGUGUGCGGCCACAUUGGGACUGAGAUACGGCCCAGACUCCUACGGGAGGCAGCAGUGGGGAAUAUUGCACAAUGGGCGCAAGCCUGAUGCAGCGACGCCGCGUGGGGGAUGACGGCCUUCGGGUUGGAAACUCCUUUCGCUAGGGACGAAGCGUUUUGUGACGGUACCUGGAGAAGAAGCACCGGCUAACUACGUG
rnacentral:rRNA from 1 species